rnacentral:rRNA from 1 species
UGCGUAGGCGGUUUGUUUAGUCAGAUGUGAAAGCCCCGGGCUUAACCUGGGAACUGCAUUUGAAACUGGCAGACUAGAGUAUGGUAGAGGGGGGUAGAAUUCAUAGUGUAGCGGUGAAAUGCGUAGAUAUUAUGAGGAAUACCAGUGGCGAAGGCGGCCCCCUGGACCAAUACUGACGCUGAGGUACGAAAGCGUGGGUAGCGAACAGGAUUAGAUACCCUGGUAGUCC